AAAAAUUAAGGUGGCAUGGGGUUUGAAGACUUACAUUGUUUCAAAAAAGCAAUGCUAGCAAAACAAUGUUGGAGAUUAUUGUCUGAACCAUAAUCACCAUGUUCUCAGGUCCUUCAAGCUAAGUAUUAUCUAGAUUAGGACUUCUGUAAGGCUAUGUUGAAGAACAAAUCGUCAUACACAUGGCGGAGCAUUCUAUUUGGUUUGAAAACUCUUAAACACGGAGCUAUAUGGCGACCUAGAGAUGGUGCAACAAUUAAUUUUUGGAAGGACGAUGGAUCCCGAUGA
rnacentral:rRNA from 1 species